GACGAACGCUGGCGGCGUGCUUAACACAUGCAAGUCGAACGAUGAACCCGGAGCUUGCUCCGGCGGAUUAGUGGCGAACGGGUGAGUAACACGUGAGUAACCUGCCCUUGACUCUGGGAUAACUGCUAGAAAUGGUAGCUAAUACCGGAUACGACCCUCGGUGGCAUCACCAGGGGGUGGAAAGAAUUCCGGUCAAGGAUGGACUCGCGGCCUAUCAGCUAGUUGGUGAGGUAACGGCUAACCAAGGCGACGACGGGUAGCCGGCCUGAGAGGGUGACCGGCCACACUGGGACUGAGACACGGCCCAGACUCCUACGGGAGGCAGCAGUGGGGAAUAUUGCACAAUGGGCGCAAGCCUGAUGCAGCAACGCCGCGUGAGGGAUGACGGCCUUCGGGUUGUAAACCUCUUUUAGUAGGGAAGAAGCGAAAGUGACGGUACCUGCAGAAAAAGCACCGGCUAACUACGUGCCAGCCGCCGCCGUAACAC
rnacentral:rRNA from 1 species